rnacentral:rRNA from 1 species
GUGCCAGCCGCCGCGGUAAUACGGAGGGGGCCAGCGUUGUUCGGAAUCAUUGGGCGUAAAGGGCGCGUAGGCGGCCGAUCAAGUCGGAGGUGAAAUCCCUCGGCUCAACUGAGGAAUUGCCUCCGAUACUGUUCGGCUUGAGUCCUGGAGAGGGUAGUGGAAUUCCCAGUGUAGCGGUGAAAUGCGUAGAGACUGGGAAGAACACCAGUGGCGAAGGCGGCUACCUGGACAGGUACUGACGCUGAAGCGCGAAAGCUAGGGGAGCAAACAGGAUUAGAAACCCUGGUAGUCC